AUGAGGUUUUGGCUCCAUGUAGUGUUCCUUACAGCAGCUUUGGAAGGUGUCCGGUCCCAGGUGCAGCUGGUGGAGUCCGGAGGGGAUGUGAAAAAGCCCGGAGACUCUCUCCGCCUCUCCUGCAAAGCCUCUGGGUUCACCUUCAGCAGCUAUGAUAUGAGCUGGGUCCGACAGGCUCCCGGGAAGGGGCUGGAGUGGGUCUCAAGCAUUUAUUGGGAUUUAUGGAACCACUAUUAUUACGCAGACUCAGUGAAAGGCCGAUUCACCAUCUCCAGGGACAAUUCCAACAACCUGCUGCAUUUGGACAUGACUGGCCUGAAGCCCGAGGACACCGCCCGGUAUUACUGUGUGCGAGACACACACACACAGUGA